GACCCACCCACGUUCGCCGACGGCUGCCCUAGCUCCCGUUCGGCCGACGCAAACAAGGGGAAAAGGUGGAGCUCGUCAAGAGAUGGGGUGGCGUUGGGGAUUCCCUCAUCUCCAUGUUGUUGGUGACAAAAAACUCGAAACCCUAGAUUACUAUGUGUGCUAUUUAAGGAGAAGAGAAUGGAGUAGGCAGAGACGUGAAGGAGCCGGAAGUGAUUGUUGCUAGCUUCUUUGCGGAAGAUAGGUGGCUGUCACAAGAGAAGAAGAAGCAAUACUUAAUUACAACAUGUGAUUGGUGCUGCACUACGUGCCCUGUGACACCCCACAUCUCAUCUUGAUCGAUGUGAGAUUAGAUCUUAGGAUGGCCUGAUGCAUGCUACUGAAGUGAUUUUUUUUUGUCUGACUUAUGUCACAAGGUAAGCUGAAUUCGGAUCUGGUCAGUUAAUUAUGUCACUAUUUCCUAGCAAUUGGAUUUCCUAAAUGUUGCUAUCUGUUUUGUUCAUCUUACUAAUUUGGGUUUUGUCAACUACACGGCUGAUUUUUGAUGGUUUGUUAAACAAUAGACAGUAGUUAUUGUGGCUAAUAGAUGAUUGUUUCAUUUUUAGCAUUGGAUGGAGAACAUGCCACCCAAGCCCACACUGUGCGGAUGCAUGGAUCUCAAAGAGGAGCAUCUGUUGGACGCUGCCGUGGCAGUUGCAUUUGUUUUACUAUUAGUACUUUACUUGUAUGCAUGCUCUCAUUUUUUAUUUUUAUCAGUCCACUUGUGCAGUUAACAUUUACACGGUCAGCUCCUUUAAUAUAUUUUAGAAAUAGCCAAGAUUUUGGUGUCAACUCUACUUGAGAGAAGGGGAGACAGGACUAAGUCGAAGCCUCAGAUCUAAAAUUGAUCUACUGUUAUUAAUUUCAGGCAAUUAGUUGAUCAGGCAAUGCAAGUACACUGUGCACCUGCUGCUAACUGAGUUUAAUAGCCUCCUCUGAUGUAGGGUCAUUGGUGAAGGCUGGUGCACUAGAUUUUCACUUGGUCUCAUUUGUUAGUUUGAUAUGCUUCGUUAGGUGCUCAUUUGCACCUUCCUUUCUAGGCUUUGCAGGCAAAAUAUUAUUAGUUGCACGAGUCGAGAUAUUGUGUACAAAAUCCGAAAUC